rnacentral:rRNA from 2 species
AGAGUUUGAUCCUGGCUCAGGAUGAACGCUGGCGGCGUGCCUAACACAUGCAAGUCGAACGAAGCUUGACGGAUGAUUUCUUCGGAAUGAAACCAGAUAUGACUUAGUGGCGGACGGGUGAGUAACACGUGAGCAACCUGCCUUUCAGAGGGGGAUAACGGCUGGAAACGGUCGCUAAUACCGCAUGAUGUGUUCGGAUGGCAUCAUCUGAACAUCAAAGAUUUAUCGCUGAAAGAUGGGCUCGCGUCUGAUUAGAUAGUUGGUGGGGUAACGGCCUACCAAGUCGACGAUCAGUAGCCGGACUGAGAGGUUGAACGGCCACAUUGGGACUGAGAUACGGCCCAGACUCCUACGGGAGGCAGCAGUGGGGAAUAUUGCACAAUGGGGGAAACCCUGAUGCAGCAACGCCGCGUGAAGGAUGACGGUUUUCGGAUUGUAAACUUCUUUUCUUAGUGACGAAGACAGUGACGGUAGCUAAGGAAUAAGCAUCGGCUAACUACGUGCCAGCAGCCGCGGUAAUACGUAGGAUGCAAGCGUUAUCCGGAUUUACUGGGUGUAAAGGGAGCGCAGGCGGGACUGCAAGUUGGAUGUGAAAUACCGUGGCUUAACCACGGAACUGCAUCCAAAACUGUAGUUCUUGAGUGAAGUAGAGGCAAGCGGAAUUCCGAGUGUAGCGGUGAAAUGCGUAGAUAUUCGGAGGAACACCAGUGGCGAAGGCGGCUUGCUGGGCUUUAACUGACGCUGAGGCUCGAAAGUGUGGGGAGCAAACAGGAUUAGAUACCCUGGUAGUCCACACUGUAAACG